rnacentral:rRNA from 1 species
AGUGUAGGCGGCUUCGUAAGUCGGAUGUGAAAGCCCUGGGCUUAACCUGGGGAAUUGCAUUCGAUACUGCGAGGCUAGAGUUUGAUAGAGGAAAGUGGAAUUCCAGGUGUAGCGGUGAAAUGCGUAGAUAUCUGGAGGAACAUCAGUGGCGAAGGCGGCUUUCUGGAUCAAAACUGACGCUGAGGCUCGAAAGCGUGGGGAGCAAACA